GUCUAUAUAUAGCUAUUCACCAUCGCCACUGAAUCAGUGAUAUAUGUACACAUAAAUACAUGUAAGACUAAAAUUAAAGUACAUAUAUAAGACUAAAACUGACAUUCGGUCUUUACCUUCAUUCCCCAAGUCCUGUUCAAAUCUGAUUCAUGAUAAAAUAAAAAUUACAACCAAUGAAAUCAAAGGCGAAUUAAGAGGCCCCCCCCC
rnacentral:lncRNA from 1 species